rnacentral:rRNA from 1 species
ACUGCGGAGGAUCAUUAUUGAAUCUCAACCCUGAAAAGGGGAGAGGGGGAGAGAGGAAGGGGGGAGAGAAGGAAGGACAAAAGACUGUUGCUGGCUGCCCCUUGCAUGUGCACGUCGUUGCCUUUCAUCGACCCUUUUUCUCUUUCUUUCUUUUCACGCCUGGGCGCUCUGCACAUAUUGUAUGUUUUGAAUGUGACCGUCACAGCCAAAAAGGCUUGACAAACCAAAUAUAUCACACAACUUUCAGCAACGGAUCUCUUGGCUCUCGCAUCGAUGAAGAACGCAGCGAAUUGCGAUAAGUAAUGUGAAUUGCAAAUUUUCAGUGAAUCAUCGAAUCUUUGAACGCACCUUGCGCUCCUUGGUAUUCCGAGGAGCAUGCCUGUUUGAGUGUCAUUGAGUUCUCAACCAUGUCUUGAUUGAUUUCAAGGGCAUGGCUUGGAGUUUGGGGGUCUGCCAAUGAUGCAAGUCGAUCGGCUCUCCUGAAAUGCAUUAGCGAAAGGACAAGCAAGUCUGAUGUUGCGCAUGGAGCCUGUCGACGUGAUAAUGAUCGUCGUGGGCUGGCCUGUCGGACAAGCAAUCAACGUUCCUUUGCUUCCAAUCCCAUCAUACUUUGGGCCAACCCAGCUACUAGUGGGUCAUUGAAACCCUACGAACGUGGGCCAGGCCAUUGAUGAUGUUUGAAUGCUUGACCUCAAAUCAGGUAGGACUACCCGCUGAACUUAAGCAUAUCAAUAAG